AGCGAACGCUGGCGGCAGGCCUAACACAUGCAAGUCGAACGAAGUCUUCGGACUUAGUGGCGGACGGGUGAGUAACACGUGGGAACGUACCUUUUGGUUCGGAACAACUCAGGGAAACUUGAGCUAAUACCGGAUGAGCCCUUAGGGGGAAAGAUUUAUCGCCGAAAGAGCGGCCCGCGUUAGAUUAGCUAGUUGGUGAGGUAAAGGCUCACCAAGGCUACGAUCUAUAGCUGGUCUGAGAGGAUGAUCAGCCACACUGGGACUGAGACACUGCCCAGCCUCCUACGGGAGGCAGCAGUGGGGAAUCUUGCGCGAUGGGCGAAAGCCUGACGCAGCCAUGCCGCGUGAAUGAUGAAGGUCUUAGGAUUGUAAAAUUCUUUUACCAGGGACGAUAAUGACGGUACCUGGAGAAAAAGCCCCGGCUAACUUCGUGCCAGCCGCCCGCCGUAACAC
rnacentral:rRNA from 1 species